GAUGAAGAACGUAGCAAAAUGCGAUAAGUAAUGUGAAUUGCAGAAUUCAGUGAAUCAUCGAAUCUUUGAACGCACAUUGCGCCCGCUGGUAUUCCGGCGGGCGUGCCUGUUCGAGCGUCAUUUCAACCCUCAAGCCCCCGGGUUUGGUGUUGGGGAUCGGCUCUGCCCUUCUGGGCGGUGCCGCCCCCGAAAUACAUUGGCGGUCUCGCUGCAGCCUCCAUUGCGUAGUAGCUAACACCUCGCAACUGGAACGCGGCGCGGCCAUGCCGUAAAACCCCAACUUCUGAAUGUUGACCUCGGAUCAGGUAGGAAUACCCGCUGAACUUAAGCAUAUCAAUAAGCGGAGGA
rnacentral:misc_RNA from 1 species